UCCCUGGUGGUCCAGCAGUUAAGACUCUGCACCCUCAAGGCAGAGUCAUGGGUUCAAUUCCCAGUCAGGGAA
rnacentral:tRNA from 1 species